GACGAACGCUGGCGGCGUGCUUAACACAUGCAAGUCGAGCGGAAAGGCCCUUCGGGGUACUCGAGCGGCGAACGGGUGAGUAACACGUGAGUAAUCUGCCCUUGGCUUUGGGAUAACUACCGGAAACGGUGGCUAAUACCGGAUACGACAACCGUCUGCAUGGGCUGGUUGUGGAAAGUUUUUUCGGCCAGGGGGGUGCUCGCGGCCUAUCAGCUUGUUGGUGGGGUAAGGGCCUACCAAGGCUUCGACGGGUAGCCGGCCUGAGAGGGUGACCGGCCACACUGGGACUGAGACACGGCCAAGACUCCUACGGGGGGCAGCAGUGGGGAAUAUUGGACAAUGGGCGGAAGCCUGAUCCAGCAACGCCGCGGGAGGGAUGACGGCCUUCGGGUUGUAAACCUCUUUCAGUACCGACGAAGCGCCGAUGAUGGUGGUGACGGUAGGUACAGAAGAAGCACCGGCCAACUACGUG
rnacentral:rRNA from 1 species